rnacentral:rRNA from 1 species
UUUUAUGGAGAGUUUGAUCCUGGCUCAGGAUGAACGCUGGCGGCGUGCCUAAUACAUGCAAGUCGAGCGAACGGACGAGAAGCUUGCUUCUCUGAUGUUAGCGGCGGACGGGUGAGUAACACGUGGAUAACCUACCUAUAAGACUGGGAUAACUUCGGGAAACCGGAGCCAAUUACGGAUAAUAUUUUGAACCGCACGGUUCAAAAGUGAAAGAAGGUCUUG